UAUGUCCUGUCAAUGUGUCGUCGAUAAGUCGUGCGGCGCCCCGGUGGCCUGCUAAAUCAGCAUCAGGAGCAGUUCCAGAGGGAGGCAUGGAGGAUGGCGCACUCAAGCGACGGACAGCAGUAGCCGUUUCGGCCCCUGAUAACGAUGGAUGGAUGACUGGAACUGCGGACUGGGUCUCUGGAUGCGCCUCUAGCUAAAUGGAACACUGUCCGCCGGGUGUAUGGGUAUGGCUCGGGUCGAGGCGAAGCGACGCGACCACCGAUCGGUGGAUCAGCAUCUGGUUGGACGGCUUCUAAUGCCUCUUUCAAAUGUGCCGCACUUCCUCUGGACUCUACUCGCUCCACUAUGCUCUUCUCCUGCUCCUGCUCCUUCGCUAUUAAUUAGAAUGUAUGGCCGUUGCUUCUGUGCCGCUGACUACCUCCUGCCCCCCUGCCCACUUCUCCAUUCCCGUUCAUUUUUGGCAUUUCAGAGUUAACGGCACGCGACAUUUUAAAUAUGUAUGUAUGUAUGAUGCCCUCCAUCCAUCGCCCUGGACUGCUCCGCUCCUGUUUGGGGUUCUCUUCUCGGACUGCCACUCGCCUCGUUUGCACCAGCGCAGAGGACGACUCCACCACGACUCGACUCCCCUGGAGCAGCUGUUGAAAUUGAUGCCUGGCCCAGGCGUUCGGCAUUUGUGUCGAAUAUGCAGCACGGACGGGGAAUGGGCUGCGGAU